GGAGUUGGGAUAUAAUAAUAAUCAUUUGAUUAUAAAUUGAACGAUGAUAACCACAAAUUUCUAGCAAAAAUUAGACGAAAUAAUAUGUAAAAAGAGGUACCAAAUAGUAAAUAUAUAUUAAUUAUAUUAAAUAACGGAAUAUUUCAUAAAUUCAGGGCAUUUUAGGCAGUUUGGGAUGUGUAUUAAGUAUAAUACUGAAAUGAAAAACUUGAUAGGUGGUGUAUUAAGUAAGGGGUGUGUAUUAAGAUAUUAAGGGUGUGUAUUUAAAAUUUCUCUUUUAAUACUAAAAGUAUGGAAAAAAAAUGUGUAUUUAGUAUUUUGCAAUAUGUGAAUAAAAUUUCUCUUAUUAACCUUCUUACCUAUAAAAUUCAAAACAUACAACUAUUUUUAUUUUGUCAUUAUCAAAACCAAAAAAUUUCCUAAAACCAUAACCAUUUAUUGACAUUUUCUUUUAAUUUUAUUGAAUAAAAUUUUGACAUUUUCAGAAUUUCAUAAAUUUUAAAACUUCAAAAAAGAUUAAUAAAUAGCUUAGGUGCCCGGAAAAUUUCUCGAAAACUCAUAUACAUUCACGACAAUGGGCUAUGUCCAUAUACCUAAAUAUUUUGAGACAUUCAUCCCCGCUUGACACGGCUACCCUUAAGGCGGUAAGGCAAUACAUGAGGUUAACCGCUUCGAUCGAGGUCUAAACAUUAUCAAAAAUAUGUGAUUUUUCUGUCGUAACCGUAUUUCAACGUACCGAUCACAUCCUAUGGUUGAGUUUUUAAAAUUCUAUUUGCUAGAUACUGUUGGUUCACACAAAUGUAUACUUUCAUAUAACCCACUAAACAAGUUAUACCACAUUAGUAGGUACGUUGUGGUUUCAAUGACUAAAAUUCAAAAAAUGAAAAUUCGACCGUCAGAUGUGAUAAGUACACUUAAAUAUAGCUAUGAAGAAAAAUUCAUUUACCUCCCGAAGACAAGGCUACCCAUAGAGAAG
rnacentral:lncRNA from 1 species